GGUGCUAUGGUGUAGUGGCAGCACAUGGGAUUCUGACCUGAUCGUAUUCCCAUAACCCAGGUUCGAACCCUGGUAGUGCCU
rnacentral:tRNA from 1 species